GGUAAUGGCCCACCAAGGCUAUGACGCUUAACUGGUCUGAGAGGAUGAUCAGUCACACUGGAACUGAGACACGGUCCAGACUCCUACGGGAGGCAGCAGUAGGGAAUAUUGCGCAAUGGGGGAAACCCUGACGCAGCAACGCCGCGUGGAGGAUGACACUUUUCGGAGCGUAAACUCCUUUUCUUAGGGAAGAAUUCUGACGGUACCUAAGGAAUAAGCACCGGCUAACUCCGUGCCAGCAGCCGCGGUAAUACGGAGGGUGCAAGCGUUACUCGGAAUCACUGGGCGUAAAGGGCGCGUAGGCGGAUUAUCAAGUCUCUUGUGAAAUCUAAUGGCUUAACCAUUAAACUGCUUGGGAAACUGAUAGUCUAGAGUGAGGGAGAGGCAGAUGGAAUUGGUGGUGUAGGGGUAAAAUCCGUAGAUAUCACCAAGAAUACCCAUUGCGAAGGCGAUCUGCUGGAACUCAACUGACGCUAAGGCGCGAAAGCGUGGGGAGCAAACAGGAUUAGAUACCCUGGUAGUCCACGCCCUAAACGAUGUACACUAGUUGUUGGGGUGCUAGUCAUCUCAGUAAUGCAGCUAACGCAUUAAGUGUACCGCCUGGGGAGUACGGUCGCAAGAUUAAAACUCAAAGGAAUAGACGGGGACCCGCACAAGCGGUGGAGCAUGUGGUUUAAUUCGAAGAUACGCGAAGAACCUUACCUGGGCUUGAUAUCCUAAGAACCUUUUAGAGAUAAGAGGGUGUUAGCUUGCUAGAACUUAGAGACAGGUGCUGCACGGCUGUCGUCAGCUCGUGUCGUGAGAUGUUGGGUUAAGUCCCGCAACGAGCGCAACCCACGUAUUUAGUUGCUAACGGUUCGGCCGAGCACUCUAAAUAGACUGCCUUCGUAAGGAGGAGGAAGGUGUGGACGACGUCAAGUCAUCAUGGCCCUUAUGCCCAGGGCGACACACGUGCUACAAUGGCAUAUACAAUGAGACGCAAUACCGCGAGGUGGAGCAAAUCUAUAAAAUAUGUCCCAGUUCGGAUUGUUCUCUGCAACUCGAGAGCAUGAAGCCGGAAUCGCUAGUAAUCGUAGAUCAGCCAUGCUACGGUGAAUACGUUCCCGGGUCUUGUACUCACCGCCCGUCACACCAUGGGAGUUGAUUUCACUCGAAGCCGGAAUACUAAACUAGUUACCGUCCACAGUGGAAUCAGCGACUGGGGUGAAGUCGUAACAAGGUAACCGUAGGAGAACCUGCGGUUGGAUCACCUCCUUUCUA
rnacentral:rRNA from 1 species